GAGGGUAUGGCUCAGUGGUAGAGCUCAUGCUUAGCAUGCAAAAGGUCCUGGGUUCAAUCCCUGUUACCUCC
rnacentral:tRNA from 1 species